rnacentral:ncRNA from 1 species
UACAGGUUUGGUCCUGGCCUUCCUAUUAGUUGUUAGCAGACUUACACAUGCAAGUAUCCGCCCCCCAGUGAGGAUGCCCUCUAAGUCAAUAUUAGAAAUAAAGGAGCGGGUAUCAGGCACGCCCCACGCAGCCCACAACACUUUGCUCAGCCACACCCCCACGGGAAACAGCAGUGAUAAAAAUUAAGCCAUAAACGAAAGUUCGACUAAGCCAUGCUAAUACAGGGUUGGUAAAUUUCGUGCCAGCCACCGCGGUCAUACGAUUAACCCGAAUUAAUAAUUAUCGGCGUAAGGCGUGUUUAAGGUUACACCCAAAAUAAAGUUAAGCUUAGACUAAGCCGUAAAAAGCCCUAGUCAUUGUAAAAUAACCUACGAAAGUGACUUUAAAAUCCUGAGCACACGGCAGCUAAGAUCCAAACUGGGAUUAGAUACCCCACUAUGCUUAGCCUCAAACCUAAGAAGUUAAAUCAACAAAACUGCUCGCCAGAGUACUACUAGCCAAAGCUUGAAACUCAAAGGACUUGGCGGUGCUUUACAUCCAUCUAGAGGAGCCUGUUCUGUAAUCGAUAAACCCCGGUAAACCUCACCAACUCUUGCCAAAUCAGCCUAUAUACCGCCAUCUUCAGCAAACCCUAAAAAGGACGCAAAGUAAGCAUAAUCAUAGAACAUAAAAACGUUAGGUCAAGGUGUAGCUUAUGAGUUGGAAAGAAAUGGGCUACAUUCCCUAAGCAAGGGCAUUAACCACAUACACGAACUCUGUGUUGAAACACAUAGAUAAAGGUGGAUUUAGCAGUAAAUCAAGAAUAGAGCGCUUGAUUGAAUAUAGGCCAUAAAGCACGCACACACCGCCCGUCACCCUCCUCAAGCAACACCAACAAAAACAACCUAAUAAGAAACCGCCCAUGUAAGAGGAGAUAAGUCGUAACAAGGUAAGUGUACUGGAAAGUGCACUUGGAAAACC